CCAGCCUCCCGCCGCGAUGAUCCGCACCCACCUCGGGCCCCCGGCCUUACCAAGCCGGGUCUCGGCGCUCGAGACUCCCUCCGCCUGCUGAACGCACGCAGGACUUAAACCUGUCUCUCCAGCCCCCCGCCCGCGGUUUUGCUCUGUACCUCUGCUGACCGCGCGCUCCCGCCUCUUCGCUGCCUUGGCGACAGUCCCCGCCCCCCCGACAGCCUCUGAUUGGUCCGACUAGGAUGGCGGAAGUUGCGGAUUGGCGGGGUCGGAGACGAGGCCGCGCCCGGGGGCUGAGAGGCGGGCAGCGUGGACCAGGAACGCGAAGGAGCCUGGGGGAGCCUAAGCCAAGAGGGACGUGGCGCUCUGCGACGCGGGCGGGCAAGCCGCGCCCCUUCCUUCUUCAGCUCUCAUGGAGAAACCUGCGAAGCAGGAUUUGGGCGGGAUCCCACAGAACACCAACUGGCCAAAUUCUUCAUUGUCUUCAGAAGAGGGGAGAGGAAGGCAGGAGUAUUUACUGACAAGAGACAAGCCCUGGGCAGUAGCACCCUCAAGGAGCUGUGCUGUGAAGGAGUGAGCAUCACACUAAAGAAAUGGAGGCCAGAAGUCACCAUCCAAAGAACUCAAGUAGGAUGCACCCAAAGCUAAUUACCAUCAGACGAUGUCUUUCACGUGAAAUUUUAAUUUGCUUAGAAUUUUUUAAAGUCUGGAAUUCCAACUCCCAGAGGGUAUUGGAAAGGAAGUCCUUAGACAACAACUAUGUAACAGGCUUAGAAAACAAC
rnacentral:lncRNA from 1 species